AUUUAGCUCAGUUGGUAGAGCAAUGAGACUCUUAAUCCCAGGGUUUUGGGUUCAACCCACACCUUGAAUG